CAACGGAUCUCUUGGUUCCGGCAUCGAUGAAGAACGCAGCGAAAUGCGAUAAGUAAUGUGAAUUGCAGAAUUCCGUGAAUCAUCGAAUCUUUGAACGCACAUUGCGCCCCCUGGUAUUCCGGGGGGCAUGCCUGUUCGAGCGUCAUUG
rnacentral:rRNA from 1 species